UCUCUCUCUCUCUCAUGGAAAACCAAAACCGUCUGAAAAUGCGAAUCUCUCGCAUGUUCCGAUCCUCAUUCGGUUCCUGCAAAACCCGACAACAUGUAACAGAUGUUAUGGAAAAACCACUAUUUGCACCCCCUAACAACCCCAUCCCCUCCAAAACUUUACUAUCCUUUCACCCCAUUUCCAAACCCAAACCCUCUCAAAAAACCAUCGACGACAUGUCGUUUAACCUCCCUCA
rnacentral:lncRNA from 1 species